CUCUUUCUCAUUGCCCCUCAUGUGGACCACAAUACUGGGUCAUAUCUUCUGCCACCUUCGUCUAUGCGGUCAUCAGGUUUCAGCUGGUUCUGGAACUUUGAAAUUAGGAAGCCUCUGAAAGACAGAAGGUCCGUUUCUCACUGGUGACUGCUCAGAGUUUUGUGGAAUUCCAAUCAGCCUGCAGGCUCAAUAACAGGAAUGUUGGGGAUGACUCAAAGCUUGCCACUGAGAGAAGAAGGGUUGAGAACUUAGGCCCUCAUGACUGAACACACCUGUAUUGAAGGCCUGGCCCUGCCACCUACUAGUCUGCUUCCUGCUGGGCCAUUUGAAAAACAUCAGAGCUGUCGUUGAACAUCCUGAAAACGUCAAAUUCAGAUUCUUCCUGGGACUGCCAGUGUGGAGUAGAGUUUGUGAGCAAAUGGCCUUUUCCUCCCAAUUCUACAUUUACUUGAAGCAAUGGUGCUUGGGACUGAGGACCAUAAAAGAUUUUUAUGGAAGACUCUUGUAUGAUCAAAUUGCCCAAGAACAAGGAAAAGCAGGACUGUGAAAAUGGUAAUUCUGAAAACAGCCAAGAUGUUAUAAAUGAAGGAGUUUUGGUUUUGACUAAAAAAGUGGAACAGGAAAUGAAACGUUAAAGGGAAAAAAAAGUUCCCCUGCCUCUCCUGGACAAAUCAAAUGUCCAGUUAUCAAAGAACACAAGAAAUAUUGCAUAGGUAAAUACCAGAUGUGGACAGUAUAUGGACAAACAUUUUUGAAGACCACUGUUGUAGGCCCUAAGAGCCACCUAUAGUCAUGUCAAAAGGUGACCCUGCUUCUGUUCCACUUCUCUUUUCCCUUCUACUCCCUCUCCCUCUCCUUCUCUUGUUCCAUCUCCUCCUCCACCACACCACCAUAUAUAGAUCUAUAUCUUUAUAUAUAUGAAUUAAUUAUAAGUACCCACAUAUAUAAUGAUAAUUUGAAGACAUUAUAGGAAAUAAUAAUAGUUGCUAAUGUAGGAUGGUUAGAUUACACAAA